AGAUGUAUAGCUCAGCAUGGUAGAGCAGCACGUUGACAUCGUGAAGGUCGCCUGUUCAAAUCAGGCUACAUCUA
rnacentral:tRNA from 1 species